UACGUAGGGUGCAAGCGUUAAUCGGAAUACUGGGCGUAAAGCGUGCGCAGGCGGUUAUGUAAGACAGAUGUGAAAUGCCCGGGCUUAACCUGGGAACUGCAUUUGUGACUGCAUGGCUAGAGUUUGGCAGAGGGGGGUAGAAUUCCACGUGUAGCAGUGAAAUGCGUAGAUAUGUGGAGGAACACCGAUGGCGAAGGCAGCCCCCUGGGUCAAGACUGACGCUCAUCGCACGAAAGCGUGGGGAGCAAA
rnacentral:rRNA from 1 species